rfam:Gasterosteus aculeatus cont1.003590, whole genome shotgun sequence.
UAACAACUAUAUUGUAAGUCGCUUUGGAUAAAAGCGUCAGCUAAAUGAUGUAAU